AGCAGAGAUGCUGAUGCACGCAGGAGGAGCAUCGUCCUCUAUGUGACACCUCAGCAGCACCAUCACAAAGAGGAUGGUCCCGAUGAUGAGGUUAGGUUGGUCUGAUGGUAGGGACAGUCCUGACGAUGAAGAAGAUGGAGAACACAGGAGCUGGGUGCAUCCCUUGGCUCUGCGCAUCACUCCCGCAUCUCCAACCUUCUGGUACCUGGCACCACCUCCGCCUUCCAUCACUCACCCCAGCAGCAGCUCACAUCAUCCUAACUGUUUGUCACAACAACGGGACUACACUGAGAAGGACGGCAACAGGGGGAUGCAAACUGAUUUGUAGGGUGGGGACUUGGCAUCCUCUUGGGAAUUCCCCACACCUGUGCUUUCCCAUUUCCCCACCACAGCUCCAUAAAGGAAUAAGGGGCCCCACUCACACUGCAAGGAUGGGAGGCAAUGGGGAUGCCCUCUGCCCCACUCCAGACCCCACAGGGGAUUGUAUGGGGUCACAGUUUUCUCCCACCUCCAGCACCACUCUCGUCACCUGGAGUGCCCUCACCAUCAUUGCCUCACACUGAGUAACAUUCAACAGCUCUUCUUCCCUCCUCAUUCACCAAACAAACAAACAAUUCUGAGCCCUCGCAACCAGAGGAAAAUUAGUAACAGGUGAAAGCAGAGUCUAAUGAGACCAAAUUGUUCCUAGCACAGACUGGGAAUGAUGUUUCCUUCCUCUCCCUUUUGCCGUUCUGUGGUUUGUAUGGGCAAAAAACAAACAAGGGAACAAAGCACACGCCUAAAGGAGAGCUGGCCCUGGACACCGUAUCCCCCUGCUCUCAACAUGAACCCAGCAUGCACCAAAUGCACACCCUACCAAGUGGGAACUUCACAGCUCAGUGAUGAACAGAGAAAACAAUAAAACUUCAUUCCAGCUCAACGUCAACUGUUUUGUUUCCUGCAUUAGAGCAGCAUUAUAGGGUAUUUAUAGCUCAGUUGUGCUCACUAAAUGCCUUCUUCUAGGAAAGCAGUUAAUCAAAGUGCCUGUGUACCUUUCCUUUAAUCCCUCUCAGCCAUCUACUGCCAUUGCUGGAAACCCAGAGAGGUUCAGCAUCACCUCUGGCAGGACAGGCACAUGGUGGGGACAUCACCUCUGUGCCAACGCACAGCAAAAUGCUUUUUGGUGCCAUUGUGCGCCUGCAGCUGGGCUGGGAGCAGCACAGAGCUGAGGUGUUCU
ensembl:lncRNA